AUUGAACGCUGGCGGAAUGCUUUACACAUGCAAGUCGAACGGCAGCACGGGGGCAACCCUGGUGGCGAGUGGCGAACGGGUGAGUAAUACAUCGGAACGUGCCCGGUCGUGGGGGAUAACGUAGCGAAAGUUACGCUAAUACCGCAUACGAUCUGAGGAUGAAAGCGGGGGACCUUCGGGCCUCGCGCGAUCGCAGCGGCCGAUGUCGGAUUAGGUAGUUGGUGGGGUAAAGGCCUACCAAGCCGACGAUCUGUAGCUGGUCUGAGAGGACGACCAGCCACACUGGGACUGAGACACGGCCCAGACUCCUACGGGAGGCAGCAGUGGGGAAUUUUGGACAAUGGGCGCAAGCCUGAUCCAGCCAUUCCGCGUGCAGGACGAAGGCCUUCGGGUUGUAAACUGCUUUUGUAUGGAACGAAAAGGCUCUGGCUAAUACCUGGGGCUCAUGACGGUACCGAAAGAAUAAGCACCGGCUAACUACGUG
rnacentral:rRNA from 1 species